CCCACCUACUGGGUCCCACUCUCUCAGAACCGUCAUUAAAUCCUGCCGGGGGUGGCGAGUGGGAGUAGGGAGGUGUUCCUUGGUGUACCAUUUGGGAACUACGGGAAAAGAAUUCUGCCUAGAAUAAAAAGGGUGCCGCUUUGCAGCCACUAAGAUGUCCUCUCUGAGCUUUUCUGAGAAGGCAGCUCCCGCAGUCAGAGGGAUGGAGCUUGCUGGGCAGCCGUUGCUGCCGCCUGGAGGAUGGGUCUCUGAGGGGGCCAGAGGGCCCUGGGCAGGUGUUGGGGGCCUGUGGGUAGUGGGUCAGGCUCUGCAGGACACAGUGCUGUGAGUUACAGGACUUCUGCGUGCCAAGGCACUGGGCCAGAUCGCCCCUUCCCCAUUUGUGACCCUCUCUGUCCCCAUCUCUGGUCACCUCCAGGAAGAGAACCUGGAAAUUCUGCUUCGGUGGCUGAAGUAGAUGUCACUGACCUCCCGAUGGUCAAAAGUGAGCAACACUUUACAGUUUACAAAGCAGUUUCACAUCCAUUCCCUGGUUUGAUUUGAUCUUUGCAACGGUUGGUAAGGAUAGCGCUGUGGCUAAUCCCUCCACCCCCAACUGCCUGGAGAGAAGAGGAAGUAGAGCAUCAGGAGUUGCGUAAAUUGCCCUCAGCGGCGAGAGGAGGUUGGAGUCCCAGACUCCAUUUCCAGUGACUUCCGGGCACCCUUGGCCUUUCCCCAGCCUCUCCCCACCCGGACUCUUCAUCUCGCUGACUGAGUAAUGCAGAGACUGAGGCCCAGAAGACUCUUGCCCAAGAACACAAAGCUGAUGAGAGAACUGAGGCCACUUGCCCUCCAUUAUGCAGCUGGUAAGUGGUAGAGCCAGGGCCACCCAGUUGGCUUGACCAUCAUGCAGUUUGUCCUUGAGGAAGAGGAUGCUGCUGGCCCAGUGGUGGAGUCCCUCUAGCCUGCUUCCUCUAGGACAUAGAACCUGGAAAUUCUGCUUUGGUGGCUGAAGCAGAUGUCACUGACUUCCUAAUGGUACUCCUCAGCCAAGUGAGCAGCACUUUGCAACUUUCAAGGAGGAGGGAGUCCACGGUCUGGCUUUUUGGGGGCGCCAGCCAAGGGUGUCCGACUCCCUCUUUUGCUCCGCCAUCUCCCUGCAGGCGCGCAGGCGGGCAGAAGUGGAGCCUGAUUCCCGCCGCCCACCGCGGCAGCUCAUUUUUCAUUCAUUUUCUUUAAAUGCUUCUUGCUCUGUUUUUAAAUCUAAUUUUUCAGCUUCUUUUUUUAUCUUCACUCAAGUUGCUUUAAUGAAACGAAAACGUGUCUGUUUCCCUCUGCUGGAGCUGCCUGGGGAAUUUCAACAUAAAACAAACAAGUUGGCUUUUAAAAUUAAAAUUUUAUGGGUGGCAUUUCCUCAUUUAAUGGGAGGCACAAAAGGCUGGAGCAAAA